rnacentral:rRNA from 1 species
GACGAACGCUGGCGGCGUGCCUAAUACAUGCAAGUCGAACGCUGAAGGAGGAGCUUGCUUCUCUGGAUGAGUUGCGAACGGGUGAGUAACGCGUAGGUAACCUGCCUGUGAGCGGGGGAUAACUAUUGGAAACGAUAGCUAAUACCGCAUAAUAGUAGAUGUUGCAUGACAUUUGCUUAAAAGGUGCAAUUGCAUCACUACCAGUUGGACCUGCGUUGUAUUAGCUAGUUGGUGGGGUAACGGCUCACCAAGGCGACGAUACAUAGCCGCCCUGAGAGGGGGAUCGGCCACACUGGGACUGGGACACGGCCCAGACUCCUACGGGAGGCAGCAGUAGGGAAUCUUCGGCAAUGGACGGAAGUCUGACCGAGCAACGCCGCGUGAGUGAAGAAGGGUUUCGGAUCGUAAAGCUCUGUUGUAAGGGAAGAACGAGUGUGAGAGUGGAAAGUUCACACUGUGACGGUAUCUUACCAGAAAGGGACGGCUAACUACGUG